GCCUCUGAUCCUUAGUUGGUAGAGUACAAGACUCUUAAUCUCAGGGUUGUGGGUUCGAGUUCCAUGUUGGGCA